AAUUGGGGGAAAUUUGGGGGAAAAUUUAAUUUUGGGUUGGGUUUAUGGGUGGUGUUUGUGAUUUCUUGGGUUUUAGGGAAGGGAAUUCCUGGCAGGAGCUGGGAAUUUAUCCCAAAAUUGGGCUGGAGGAAUAAAUUGGAUUUUUUCAGGGAUUUUCUUCCUUUCCUUUCCUUUCCUUUCCUUUCCUUUCCUUUCCUUUCCUUUCCUUUCCUUUCCUUUCCUUUCCUUUCCUUUCCUUUCCUUUCCUUUCCUUUCCUUUCCUUUCCUUUCCUUUCCUUUCCUUUCCUUUCCUUUCCUUUCCUUUCCUUUCCUUUCCUUUCCUUUCCCCCUUUUCCCUUCUUUUCCCCUUUCUUUCCCCUUUUUUCCUUCUCGUUUUCCCUUUCCCCCUUUUUCCUUUUCCCUUUUCUUUCCCCAUUUUUCCUUUUCUUUCCCCCUUUUCCUUCUCCUUUUCCAUCUCUCCUUCCCCCUUUUUCCUUCCCCUUUUCUUUUUCCCUUUUUUCCUUUCUCCUUUCCCCUUUUCCCUUUCUCCUUUUCCCUUUUCUUUCCCCCUUUCUUGUUUCCCCCAUUUUCCCAAUCCUUUUCCCUUUCUCCUCCCAUUUUCCCAUCCUUUCUCCUUUCCCCUUUUUCCUUUCCCAUCCCUGCUCCUCCCUCCCUGUCCCACCAGAAACGCUCCCCAGGAUCACUGACUCGGUGCCAGCUGUGCCCUGUGUGCAUGCCAGGCACAUCCCUGGCACGUUGGCACUGUGGGGUCUGUGCCAGGCAGGACAUUGGGGUUCAGCUCCCGCUCCUGGGGUGAUUCACGUUGGGUUUGGGGUGGAACGAGGAGCUGGCAAAGAGGGGAAAGCAGAUCCAGGUGGAAAAACAUUCCCAGAGCUGCAAGGGAGAUUCCAGAUGCCAGGGACACCCCUGCAGUGCCAGGGGCACACCUGGAGUGCCAGGGGCACACCUGGAGUGCCAGGGAUGCACCUGGAGCACCAGGGACACACCUGGAGUGCCAGGGACACACCCAGGGACACACCUGGAGUGCCAGGGGCACAUCUGGAAUGCCAGGGGCAUGCCAGGGGCACACCCGAGCACCAGGGGCACACCUGCAGUGCCAGGAAUACACCCGGGGACACACUUGCAAUGCCAGGGGCACACCUGCAGCACCAGGGACACCUGCAGUGCCAGGGACACACCUGCAGUGCCAGGGACACACCUGGAGUGCCAGGGGCACACCUGGAGCACCAGGGGCACACCCGGAGUGCCACGGGCACACCUGGAAUGCCAGGGACACAUCUCGAGUGUCAGGGACACACCCAGGGUCACACCUGUGGUGCCAGGGACACACCUGGAGUGCCAGGGACCCGCAGGUGA
rnacentral:lncRNA from 1 species